rnacentral:lncRNA from 1 species
UGCAUAUAUACGUAAAAUGUAAUCUAUAAUUAAUCUAUAAAUGCUAUAGUAGUAGUCUCUCGGGAACCAAGGAUGAUGAUUGUCUUUGUGCGUUUUUGUGCACAAAGACACUUGUGCAUGAAGAUUUAAGUGGAAGAGUCGAUGCACAGAGACAGUCCCACUCUCUCGGCGUUGGAAGCCUGGGUCCAGUGGCACGAAAAGUCGUUACACCUGGAGACUUCCUCAGCUGCAUUGGAUGGCCGUGUUGUCUUUUGUGCUCCAACACGCCCUAAGCACUCCACAGUGCUUUGCUGCGUCGCCAUCUCAGCUGUUGAACCUUCUUAUUGGUUUCUUCUGCCUGUUCCACCGAAACAGUCUUCACAUGCUGGGUGAGAAAAGAAAUGCUUCCUGUUUCCUUCUUGGACUUCUCUCAUUUAGCUGAGAGCUGAGAUCAAAACAGAAGAAUAUGACUGUUAGUCAAGUGGCCUCUUGGCUACUUUCUCUCCCAGGAAAUCAGCAUCCCAAAGCCCUAGGGAGAGGCAUGAUGAUGACAAUCCUCCUGUCCUGUACUCCUUACAUAAUGAAACUGUGACCCACUAGGAGUAAGACUUGGUUUUUGUCACUGCCCUCCCCACUCCCACCCCUCGCUAUGAUGAUUGAUAUUUUCCACAUUUGUUAAUGAAAGUAGUCAUUUAAAUAUUGAGUGAAGAUGACUCUUUCUCUUUAUUUCUCUGAGGAUAGUUCGUCUCAGAGGAUUAACUCUUAGAGGAUAAAGUUCACUCCAUGUCUUGGGGAAUAGGCCCAGCAUCCUUUGAGAUUACCUCAGAAAAUUAGCAUGAAAUGAAACACAUUUAUUUUUGUUGAUAUAUUAUUUUGUUGUUUGUUUCUUACAAACAUACACACAAAACAUUUUCCCCAUAACAAAGACAAACAAGCAAAAUUAACUAAGGUAACAUCUUCUAAAGACCGUGUAGCAUUCUUCAUCCUUAGUCCACCACCGCUAUUACAAGGAGAAGGAAGGUUCUUUCACCACUGGUGGUCUAGAAUCAAGACUGGUAAUUGCACUGAGUCUAAGCUUCUAACUGAUGCCACGAUUAGGAGGAUAGCAAAAAAAUUAGGAAAAAAGAGUUUAUACACAGUUUAGUAUAUUGAGGGCUCAUAUUUAAAAUAUAUAGUGAACUUUGUCAGAUUUUUAAGAAUAAAAACCAUCCCUCAGUUGAUAAAUGGGCA